rnacentral:rRNA from 1 species
GACGAACGCUGGCGGCGUGCUUAACACAUGCAAGUCGAACGGUGAAGGGAUCAGUUUUCUGGUUCUGGAUGAGUGGCGAACGGGUGAGUAACACGUGAGUAACCUGCCCCCUUCUUCUGGAUAACCGCAUGAAAGUGCGGCUAAUACGGGAUAUUCUGCGCCUGCUGCAUGGUGGGUGUGGGAAAGAUAUUGUUUCGGUGGGGGAUGGGCUCGCGGCCUAUCAGCUUGUUGGUGGGGUGAUGGCCUACCAAGGCGGUGACGGGUAGCCGGCCUGAGAGGGUGGACGGUCACACUGGGACUGAGACACGGCCCAGACUCCUACGGGAGGCAGCAGUGGGGAAUAUUGCACAAUGGGCGCAAGCCUGAUGCAGCGACGCCGCGUGAGGGAUGGAGGCCUUCGGGUUGUGAACCUCUUUCGCCAGUGAAGCAGGCCUGUCCCUUGUGGGUGGGUUGACGGUAGUUGGAUAAAAAGCGCCGGCUAACUACGUGC